AAACCCGAUGCAGGAGAGCGCUACACCGUACUACAUCAACUGUACGGCAAGCCGCCGAAGGCGCAGACACCCUUAAAUCGCUCAGGCAAAAGGACUGCAUUUCAUCA
rfam:Neisseria zoodegmatis strain DSM 21643 NODE_12_length_84918_cov_34.1738_ID_23, whole genome shotgun sequence.